GAUGAACGCUGGCGGCGUGCUUAACACAUGCAAGUCGAACGGAAAGGCCCAAGCUUGCUUGGGUACUCGAGUGGCGAACGGGUGAGUAACACGUGGGUGAUCUGCCCCGCACUUCGGGAUAAGCCUGGGAAACUGGGUCUAAUACCGGAUAGGACCACAUUUUGGAUGGUGUGGUGGAAAGUUUUUCGGUGUGGGAUGAGCUCGCGGCCUAUCAGCUUGUUGGUGGGGUAAUGGCCUACCAAGGCGUCGACGGGUAGCCGGCCUGAGAGGGUGUACGGCCACAUUGGGACUGAGAUACGGCCCAGACUCCUACGGGAGGCAGCAGUGGGGAAUAUUGCACAAUGGGCGCAAGCCUGAUGCAGCGACGCCGCGUGGGGGAUGACGGCCUUCGGGUUGUAAACUCCUUUCGCUAGGGACGAAGCGUUAUGUGACGGUACCUGGAGAAGAAGCACCGGCUAACUACGUG
rnacentral:rRNA from 1 species